CAUACGACAAACACACGCAAAUACACACACGCAAACACACAUAUUCCUUCUAAUACAUUUUUAUCCACCGUCUCUGAGAGGUUGUGGCGUUCAAUGCUAUUUCUGCUAACAUAGGCGAAAUGUUGCGUAAGUUUGUAAUCGAAAACGGAUCUGUUUUCUUAACUUACGUGAGUUGAUACACUUGUUGUUUAACACCAGGCCAGGACUCAUUACGGACAACUGUUACGAGGGGUGCUGAAGGGUUCUUAGCUUUGAAGAUAUCGCUCGUGGAAGGCCUGAUAGGAGGCGCAACCUUUCGGGUUCCUUUACAGGGCUUAGAAAAGGAUAUAUUUUAUCAACUGUAGAAGAAUGAAAGUCAAGUUGACAUCAUUGGUACUUGAGCUGAAAAAAGAAGACGAAAAGAAAAAGGAAGACUAAACUAGAUGCUACAAAACUUUUAGGCCAAUAUUCUUAGAAUAUUCUUUUCUACUCGAGGCAUUCAAAAAACUGAACAUUACAGCAUCUCAUUCUUUGAUCCGAAACUCCAGGAAUUUCUACUUAUAAAAAAUGUUUACAGGGGCUAGAUAGGCAUCUCCAACUAGCAAGCCAUGCUACUCCAGACUGAAGACGUGCAAUGACUCAGAAACUAGUCUCUGGAUGCUGGCUUAGCUGCAUGGAGGUGCUUAUCUCCCCUUUGUAAACAUAAAGACUCAGGAAAUGUGUCAAGGCCGACGGGAAGCGGUGCUGCUUCCUAGGGCAAAAUACCAGUAGUAUUAGUCCCUCUCAUGGGACUGUCACAUUAGGUUGACAGCAUACAACUAUUUUAUCAUAUCACUACUGUAUAAACUUCUCCGAGAGAUUUAGAAACGUAUUAUUUCUAUUUUAAAAAAUAAAACUAUUCUAUAAAAAUUGA